CCCAGCUACUUGGGAGGUUGAGGCAGGAGAAAUGGUGUGAACCUGGGAGGCGGAGCUUGCAGUCAGCCAAGAUUGUGCCACUGCACUCCAGCCUGGGCAACAGAGUGAGACUGUGUUUCAAAAAAAAAAAAAAAAAAAUAUAUAUAUAGAAAAAAACUUAAAUGGGAACAGACUGUGAUUAUUGUUUUGAAUCUUGCUUAGAUCUCUUUUUUAUUUGCUAUUUGCACUACUAUGAAUCCACUUCAUUCUUUUUUUUCAUACUUCUUUUUUUUUUUUUUUUUUUUUGAGAUAGAGUCUCGCCCUGUCGCCCAGGCUGGAGUGCAGCGGUGUGAUCUCGGCUCACUGCAACCUCCACCUCCCAGGUUCAAGUGAUUCUCGUGUCUCAGCCUCCCGAGUAGCUGGGAUUACAGGCACGCACCACCACGUCUGGUUAAUUUUUGUAUUUUUAGUAGAGAUGAGGUUUCUCCAUGUUGGCCAGGCUGGUCUUGAACUCCUGAUCUCAAGUAUCUUCCUGCCUGAAUNNNNNNNNNNGCUGGGCAUGGUGGCUCACGAGGCUGAGGCAGGAGAAUGGCGUGAACCUGGGUGGCGGAGCUUGCAGUGAGCCGAGAUCACGCCACUGCACUCCAGCCUGGGCGACAGAGCAAGACUCCAUCUCAAAAAAAAAAAAAAAAAAAAAAAUUAGCCAGGUGUGGUGGCGCACGCUUUUAGUCCCAGCUACUCGGUAGACUGAGACAUGAGAAUCGCUUGAACCCAGAAGGCGGAGGUUGCAGUGAGUUGAGAUCGCGCCAUUGCACUCUAGCCUGGGCGACAGAGUGAGACCCUGUUUCAAAACAACAACAACAACAACAGCAACAACAAAAAACACUCAAAAAAGGUAAAAUAAUACAGUGGUUCUCAAAGUGUGGUCCACAGACUAGCAACACUGUCAGUACCUGAGAGCUUGUUAGACACACAGACGCAACCCAGAACUAUUUAAUCAGAAACCUUGGGGCAGAGGCCUAGCACUAUGUGUUUUUUAUUUUAUUUUAUUUUUUGGAGACAGACUCUCACGAGAUUUAUUCAACAUCUACCUAAAAUUGCUAAUUAGUUUAUAGAGUUUUAAAAUUUAGCAGUUAAGCUAAAUCUCCUCAUAGCUGCCCUUUGUAUCUUAUAUUACUAAUAAUUUAGCAGCCAGAUCUUAACCUUAAAGGUAUGGUAUUAACUUGUUUGGCAGGCAGACUUGAUUUUGCUGGAUUUUAGUGGUGAGGUGGAGAGAAUCAACUUUUUUUUUUUUUUGGAGACGGAGUCUCGCUUCCUGGAGUGGAGUGGCACGAUCUCGGCUCAGUGCAACCAUCACCUUCCAGGUUCAAGAG
rnacentral:lncRNA from 1 species